CGCUGGCGGCAUGCUUUACACAUGCAAGUCGAACGGCAGCGCGGGGCAACCUGGCGGCGAGUGGCGAACGGGUGAGUAAAAUAUCGGAACGUACCCAUGAGUGGGGGAUAACGUAGCGAAAGUUACGCUAAUACCGCAUACGAUCUACGGAUGAAAGUGGGGGACCUUAGGGCCUCAUGCUCGUGGAGCGGCCGAUAUCUGAUUAGCUAGUUGGUGGGGUAAAGGCUCACCAAGGCGACGAUCAGUAGCUGGUCUGAGAGGACGACCAGCCACACUGGGACUGAGACACGGCCCAGACUCCUACGGGAGGCAGCAGUGGGGAAUUUUGGACAAUGGGCGCAAGCCUGAUCCAGCAAUGCCGCGUGAGUGAAGAAGGCCUUCGGGUUGUAAAGCUCUUUUGUCAGGGAAGAAAAGGUUGGGGCGAAUAGUUCCGGCUCAUGACGGUACCUGAAGAAUAAGCACCGGCU
rnacentral:rRNA from 1 species